GCCUGGGUGGCUCAGUUGGUUGGGCAUCCGACUUCAGCUCAGGUCAUGAUCUCACAGUUCGUAAGUUCGAGCCCUACAUCAGGCU
rnacentral:tRNA from 1 species